UCUGGAACGUUUUCCUCUAUGGAAACAGCGCGGUGCAGAUGGUGACUAGCUUUCCAGAGCAGCCCACCGUAGCCUGUUGAAUCCACAGUGUGCUAGAAUUAUGAAACUACCUACCCUACUGUGUGUUAACAGACUGCAGACACAGGAUAUUUACUGCUAACGGGACAGGAGAGUCCUCUGUGGGGAAUGGAUCUCCUGACCUUGUUCCAAUGGAACGCAGAAGUCGGCAGGGUCUUGCUCUGUAGCCCAGGCUGGACCCGAAACUCUUGGGCAUGCGCCACUCUGCCUGGCUGGACAGUUUCCAUUUCUCCUGGGCUCUUACGGAUCCUACCCCAUUCCCUUCCGAUGAAGAGGCUGAGCACUCUAGUUACUGAUGGCGUCGAAGUCCUCCCUCAAUGAGGAGGACCGUUUACCCAGCAGAAGCAGACGAGCAGCGAGAGGGUGCUGGUGUGGUUCUCGCUCUUUCCUUGUCUGCUCGCAGGCGCGGGUUCCGGAACCUUCAAGGUCACCGUGGGUGACCAUCAGCUUCAGGCCCCUGUGUGAUCCCCCUCCAAAUAACAGUCACUCAAGGGUCCCAUGUCACUGAACUCCGUUUCAAAUGGCAGCAAGAGGCCCAAGGGAAUACUCUUCUGGGCGGUUGUUUAUUUCAAACGGGGGUCAUUGUGGGUGGGGCCUGUCUCAGUCUCUGGGCACGGAGGCGGCUCAGUACUUCUCAAGGGCACCAGCGUUCAGUUAAAAGAAGUCACUUCA